rnacentral:rRNA from 1 species
UACGUAGGGUGCAAGCGUUGUCCGGAAUUAUUGGGCGUAAAGAGCUCGUAGGCGGUCUGUCGCGUCUGCUGCGAAAUCUCAGGGCUUAACCCUGAGCUUGCAGUGGGUACGGGCAGACUAGAGUGCGGUAGGGGAGACUGGAAUUCCUGGUGUAGCGGUGAAAUGCGCAGAUAUCAGGAGGAACACCGGUGGCGAAGGCGGGUCUCUGGGCCGUAACUGACGCUGAGAAGCGAAAGCAUGGGGAGCGAACAGG